GACGGGGGGUGCGAGCGUUGUUCGGAAUCACUGGGCGUAAAGCGCACGCAGGCGGAUUGAUAAGUCAGGGGUGAAAUCCCGGAGCUCAACUUCGGAAUUGCCUUUGAUACUGCCUAUCCUCGAGUUCGGGAGAGGUUGGCGGAAUUCCUAGUGUAGAGGUGAAAUUCGUAGAUAUUAGGAAGAACACCAGUGGCGAAGGCGGCCAACUGGCCCGAUACUGACGCUCAUGUGCGAAAGCGUGGGGAGCAAACAGG
rnacentral:rRNA from 1 species